rnacentral:rRNA from 1 species
CGUGAGACAGGUUGGUCUCCUAUCUACUGCAGGCGUCGAUACGUGAAGGGCGUCGUUCCUAGUACGAGAGGACCGGAACGAACGAACCUCUGGUCUACGAGCUGUCCUGCCAAGGGCACCGCUCGGUAGCUAUGUUCGGACGGGAUAAGCGCUGAAAGCAUCUAAGUGCGAAGCCCAUCCUAAGAUUACGUAUCAUAAGAUCCGUGAGAGAUGAUCACGUUGAUAGGCCGCAGGUGGAAGCGCAGCAAUGCGUUAAGCCGAGCGGUACUAAUAGAUCAAUUUAUUGUUACCC